rnacentral:rRNA from 1 species
CCUACGGGUGGCUGCAGUGGGGAAUAUUGGACAAUGGGCGAAAGCCUGAUCCAGCCAUGCCGCGUGUGUGAAGAAGGCCUUCGGGUUGUAAAGCACUUUCAGUGGGGAAGAAAGCCUUGGGACUAAUACCCUCGAGGAAGGACAUCACCCACAGAAGAAGCACCGGCUAACUCCGUGCCAGCAGCCGCGGUAAUACGGAGGGUGCGAGCGUUAAUCGGAAUUACUGGGCGUAAAGCGCGCGUAGGCGGUCUGAUAAGCCGGUUGUGAAAGCCCCGGGCUCAACCUGGGAACGGCAUCCGGAACUGUCAGGCUAGAGUGCAGGAGAGGAAGGUAGAAUUCCCGGUGUAGCGGUGAAAUGCGUAGAGAUCGGGAGGAAUACCAGUGGCGAAGGCGGCCUUCUGGACUGACACUGACGCUGAGGUGCGAAAGCGUGGGUAGCAAACAGGAUUAGAUACCCCUGUAGUC